rnacentral:tRNA from 1 species
AUUUAUAUAGUUUAAUUUUAAAACAUUAUAUUUUCAUUAUAAAAAAAAUAUUAUUUUAUUUAUAAAUU